rnacentral:piRNA from 1 species
UCCCUCGGCAUGUUUUCCUUUGC